UACGUAGGGUGCGAGCGUUAAUCGGAAUUACUGGGCGUAAAGCGUGCGCAGGCGGUUUGUAAGCCAGAUGUGAAAUCCCCGGGCUUAACCUGGGAAUGGCAUUUGGGACUGCAAGGCUUGAGUGCGGCAGAGGAGACUGGAAUUCCUGGUGUAGCAGUGAAAUGCGUAGAUAUCGUGAGGAACACCAGGGCGAAGGCGGUCUCCUGGACAGUUACUGACGCUCAGGCACGAAAGCGUGGGGAGCAAAAGG
rnacentral:rRNA from 1 species